UAUACAUAUUUACCAAUCAAAAUGCCACCUGCACGUAGUACACGUAGAGCAAGUCGUCGUAACGAUCCCGUCGCUACCCCACCCGUUCGAGUCACGCGUCGGCAAAAUCGUAAUAACGACAACGAUAGAGCCGAAGUACCAGAUAAUCAAUUAAAUAACGAUCCGGUAAUUGUCCCCCCACCUCCUGCGCCGGCUGCCGUAUCAAUCGCAUCGACCAGUUCAGACGCGGGUUCGUCUAAUUAUAAUGUCCUAUCGAAUGCUUCAGAUAUUGAAAUCACCGCUAAUUCAUCAUCAUAUAUGAACUUGAAACUAGCUAUCGAUCUUGUCCCGCGAUUUGACGGUAGAUCUAGUACAUUGUCAAAAUUUAUUAAGCAAAGCAAACUUGCAGAUUCUCUAAUCCACCCCCGGGAUAAAAUUAAUUUACUCGCGUUAAUCCGGAAUAAAAUUGAGGGUCAAGCAGACCAGUUGAUCGCGAAUCGAAACGACCCUGAAAAUCUUGACGAACUGAUUAGCCUCUUAAAAAACUCUUUCUCACGGACAUUUGACGUAGAACAUAUACAUGAUGAACUAAAGGGUUUAAAACAAAGAGACAAUGAGACUAUCGAGUCAUACGGAGCUCGAGUCAGUGAAAUUCUGGGCCGUGGUAUGGAAGCCAUAAAAGAAAAAUAUAAAACUUCGGAAGCCGUCGGUGUUAGGGUUCUUUUAAAUCACGCCGCUAUUACGGGAUUCACGCGCGGACUUCAGAGUUCACUUUUAAGUUCGCUUAUUACUCGGGAUGAGCCGGACUCGUUAGCUAAAGCAAUGAAUAUCGCGUCACUUCUUGAACGAGAAGCAGAAAAUCGAAAAUCCUUAUUCGGUUCGAAUCAACAUCAACAUCCACCUUAUAUCAGAGCUCAUAACCGGGGAGCUAGAGUCAACUCCAUUAUCGGGAACAGAAUAUUAAAAUGCUUUCAUUGCGAUCAGCCGGGUCACUUGAAAAUAAACUGCCCUGAUUGGAAGCAGCAGAAACAGCGUGAACCGCGAGACCAGGUAUACUGUGACUUUUGCUCUAGACGCGGUCAUAUCGAAGACAAUUGUUUUAAGAAAGAUCCGAGUAAACGCAAGACCAGUAAAUACUAUAGACCUAACACUGAACAAAAUGAUUUAAACGCGAACAACGUUCCGCGGACGAACGCAACUCGGAACGGCGAAGUGAUCCUGCGUUCACAAUCAACCGGAUUAAUUACCAACUAAAAACAGAUCAAACUGCAGAAUUACCGGUAAUCACUCUGAAUAAUAAUGAUCUCUUAAAUAAUCAAGCUUGUUUUCUUAUUGACACGGGAGCUCAAUUAAAUCUAAUUAAAACAAAUGCCAUCAGCUCGGAUAUACGCAUUAAUUCUAAUAUAAUUUAUAAUCUCACCGGGAUCGGGUCCGGAACGAUACGUACCGUCGGCGAGACAGAGCUCAUGGUACGUGAGAUACCGAUAAAAUUCCAGGUAGUUCAGAGCACGUUCCCGAUCGAACAAUCCGGUAUACUCGGUACUCCAUUCCUACGAAAACAAGAGGCUCAAUUAAAUUUUAAAAACGAUUUAUCGGGAAAUUUAAUAUUAGGUAACGAACAGAUAGACUUUUACGGACAUACAUCACAUUAUUUACCUCCUAGAACAAAAAAAUUAAUAACUAUUAAAAUAAAAAAUGACAGGAAAGAAGCUGGUUAUAUCGAAAAAAUAAAUGCUGGACCUGGAGUUCAUCUAGGUGAAGUUCUAGCUACGCCAAAAGACGGAUACGUCAAAAUUUUUGCGAUCAAUACCUUGACCAGCGCAGUCGAUCUAACAAUUCCGUCGGUAGAAAUCGAAGAUUUUGAAGCGUUGCCCCCGUCUCCUCGAACGGCGCGUACGGGAUCUCCCAAGAACGUAACUGACCAAGCAGCAGCUCAACGAUUCGCCUUGUUAACUGAAUCUCUUAACCUCGACAAUCUAAACGAAAUAGAAAAAAUAAGUAUUUUAGAAAUAGUGAAACAAUUUUCAUACCAAUUUCACCUUCCGGGCGAUAAACUUCAGGCUACAGACGUGACGAAACAUAAAAUUAUUACGACGGACGAAGUACCAAUAAAUACAAAACAAUAUCGGAAUCCGCAGGUACUCAAAAAUGAGGUACAGAAACAAGUAAACGAGCUUCUCUCGUCUAAUAUAAUUCGAAACUCAGACUCUUCCUACAACUCACCGGUUUGGAUUGUUCCUAAAAAACCCGAUUCAUCAGGUAAUCCGCGGUGGCGCAUGGUAAUUGACUACCGCGGGUUAAAUGAUAAAACGAUCAGUGACGCGUACCCACUUCCAAAUAUAACCGAUAUCCUCGACCAGCUGGGUGGCGCGAAGUAUUUUACCAUCCUCGAUCUUGCUUCAGGGUUUCAUCAGAUACUGAUGGACCCCGACUCACGGCAUAAAACAGCAUUUUCUACCCCCUACGGUCAUUAUGAAUUCAAUCGCAUGCCAUUUGGGCUGAAAAACGCGCCCGCGACAUUCCAACGGCUUAUGGACCGUGUACUCACCGGGCUCCAAGGAGUCGAAAUGUUCGUGUACAUGGACGACAUUGUUGUAUAUUCCAUUUCUCUGGAAGAGCAUUCGCGGAAACUAAAAAAAUUGCUAGCUCGUCUACAAAAUGCUGGUCUCGCUUUAUCACCAGAAAAAUGUCACUUUCUUCAAAAGGAAAUAGUAUAUCUGGGUCAUCUUAUCACACAUGAAGGAGUUAAACCUGAUCCGCAAAAAAUUCGUGCAGUUAAAGAUUUUCGUGUCCCUAAAAACAGAAAAAAUAUCAAAUCAUUUUUGGGAUUAGUGGGUUAUUAUAGACGAUUCAUAAAAGACUUCGCGAAAGUAGCGAAACCAUUAACGCGUCUUUUGAAGAAAGACAUAAAAUUCGACUGGGGCGAUGCCCAGCAAAAAUCAUUCGAGACUCUCAGAGACACAAUUUGUACUCAACCCGUACUCCAAUAUCCUGACUUCCAACAACCGUUCGUAGUAACUACCGAUGCGUCAAAUUUCGCACUCGGUGCCGUAUUGAGCCAAGGGCCAAUAGGUAAAGACCUCCCGAUCUCUUACGCGUCACGGACCUUAUCAAAAUCGGAAAUUAAUUAUUCAACUACCGAGAAAGAACUUCUCGCGAUAAUUUACGCCGUUCGACACUUCCGACCGUAUCUUUAUGGACGUCGAUUCACUUUAGUAACCGAUCACCGGCCACUCCUGUGGCUCCACAAUACUAAAGAUCCCGUUUCUAAAUUGUUAAGAUGGAGAAUCAAAUUAAAUGAAUAUGAUUUCGAAAUAGUUUUCAAACCAGGUAAAAUUAAUUCAAAUGCUGACUCUCUUUCACGUAAUCCAGUUGACAGCAUAACAGACGAAACUUUAAAAGCACAAAUUAAUUCAGAUAAAAUACUUAAAAUCAGCUCUAGAGGUCUGGAAUCGGUACUUGACUGCGCAGACAAGAUACCAGUUGUAGAUCUCGCCACGAGUGAAAAUGUCGAGACAGAAAAGAAUUCAUUUUUAGCAGAGGCAUUUGUUGGUUCAAUUUUUCUCGCGGAGAAACCCCUUUUGACUGAUGUAGACAUAGAGAUAACGAGUAAAAACAGUUUAAGUGCAACUCCAACGUGCUCGAAAUUAAGUAAAGGGGUCCAACACACAUAUCCGGAACCUCGAUACAGCAGAGAUCGUAACAGCGGAAUGUGGUGCGGACCAGGUUCAUGUAAUAAGGCUCUCCACGUUCGUUCGGAACCUCAGCUCUUAGGAGACUGUAACAGCGAGCUCUCGUGGAAGUCAAAUUUAAGUAAAGAUGGUUUACACACAUAUCCGGAACCUCGAUACAGCAGAGAUCGUAACAGCGGAAUGUGGUGUGAACCAGGUUCAUAUGAUAAGACCUUGCACGUACAUCCGGAACCUCAGGCCACAGAAGUCUGUAACAGCGGAGUACGGUGGUGCGAGGCAAGUGAUAAGAGCACGCUGGAGGUUUGCCAGGCAAUGUAUAGAAAAAGAAAACUAGAUGACGUAAUUGACGACAGUACAAACCAUAAGCAGACGAAAAAUACUUACCUGGAGAUUCGAAAGAUCUUAGCCAUAGUCCCAUUACGAUUUUCCUAUACUAAAGACAGUUUAAUUUUGCGUAAAGAUAACAUCAUCCAAUUUAUAUCAGCAGACUGUACACAUAUACCUAAAUCGAGUAGAGAGUUACUCCAGCAAGGCGUGUUUACUGUGGAAGAACUACUCCAACACCCGAGAAACGUGGGAGAAGCUCUUGCCACUCGGUGGAAUGUAAAUUACAUUUUUCAUUUAAUAAUUAAAAACACUAGAAACGAGCGCGCGGAUAUUGGUAACGUAGAAAGUAGUAUCGCAGCCUUAAAACAUCUAAUGGAGCAUGUAAACGUGAAAACCGCAAGUCUUUCUAAAGCACAAAAUGAACACUCUCAGCCUUUCUGGAAAUUGUUAGAACAAAACCUCAAAGAUAAAUUCGCGAAUGAAAACUAUAAUUUCACGAUUUGUACGGGCGAAAUCAGAUUCCCGCCGGUAAACGAGCAAAAGAAUAUUAUUAAAGAAUAUCAUAAUUCGGUAGUCGGAGGACAUUUUGGAGUCAGGAAGUUAUACAAUCGCGUUCGGGAAGAUUUCUACUGGAAAAAUAUGAAGAAUGAUAUAGAAAAUUUCGUCCGAACUUGUAAUAGUUGCCAAUCGAACAAACUAGUACGCGUAAAAACUAAACAGCCAAUGAGGAUAACCGACACCCCAGAGGAAGCGUUCGAUAAAAUACAAAUGGAUAUAGUGGGUCCCCUACCUGUAACCCUUGACGGAAACCGCUAUUUAUUAACUAUCCAGGAUAACUUGACAAAGUACUCUGAUGCGAUCCCCAUCCCGAGAAUGGACUCAGUAACGGUCGCUACCACCUUUGCGAAACAUUUUAUUGCACGGUUCGGAUGCCCAAAAGCUAUCCAUACUGAUCAAGGUAGUAAUUUUACCAGUCAGAUGAUGAAGACCUUCUGCCAAAUCUUUAAAAUCAAUCAAAUUAAGUCCACGGCAUUCCACCCGCAAUCACUAGGGUCUCUCGAGCGAGCCCACCACGUAUUCAUCCAAUAUCUAAAACACUAUUGUAAAGAUGAAGAUUGGGAUCAAUGGAUAGUGUUUGGUAUGUUUUCAUACAAUACCUCAGUUCACGAAUCCACCGGUUUUACACCUCAUGAAUUAAUAUUCGGGAAAAAGGCUCGUAUUCCUUCAGAAUUCGCCAAAGAAAAGAUCCCAAAGACAUAUAUACAGUAUUUUGACGACCUUUUUAAUAAGAUUACUAUUACGCAGGCCACUGCCGCGGAAAACCUUCAAGCCGCUAAAAAUCGUUCCAAAGCCUAUUAUGACAGAAACCAAAAUCCGAAAACCUUCAAGGUCAAUGAUCUCGUAUAUUUAUUAAAAGAGCCGAGACUGUCGAAGUUCGAUCGCCAAUGGGACGGUCCCUAUGAAAUAAUUGAAGUAUUUGAUGACUUAAAUGUAAUGAUAGCUUUAAACAAUAAUAGAACGAAAAUAGUACAUACCAACAAAUUAAAACUUGCCCAUAUCCGCCUCGAGGAUAACCCAAAUAGUUCAGACGAGAGCAAUGACGAAGCGUAAAAUAAAAUAAAUUGUAAUUCGCGUAGAUUAGGAAUAAACUGUUCUGAGUGCCUGAGCGAUAUCAUUUGUAUCUGUGUGUGCAAAGUAGUUAAAUGUAAUUCAUCAUACACGGGAUAAAAAGCAAUUUUGAUGCGACCUAAAAAAUAAAAUUAAUUUAAUUUAGCCCUAAGUAAAGUAGGAAAUUAAUAAAAAGCAAUAUCUUAAAAUUAAAAUAAGCUAGGUGUUUCGACAAAUGUAAACAAAUGUUCAGGUUAUGGUAUUUAGACAACAACAUUGUAAUUAAAAACAAAUUAAUUGUACUAACCUUAUCUUUAGAACAUGAAACGUAAUGUUAAGAUAUACAUUUAAUCUUCAUUUGUGAUUUUUUUAAAUGGAUGUGCUUUUGUGAUCAAUUCUAAUGUCAAGUACAUGUGUAUGUUUUGAUCUCUCGAGAGAGUAUAAAGCUGUUACUGUAUGUAACACCUUUAAAAUAAGGGGGAAGGUGUGAUGUCCCAUCGCGAUCCACCUGCCCGAUCGAAAUGACCCCUCGCGGAGUUAACAAACAAUCUCUUACGCGGGUUAUUUAAAUAUAAUUAUAUUUAAAUAAAUCGUGGGAAAUUCUUGGGUUUUUCGGAAGUAAUAAAUAAGAGUAAUAAAACAUCUGGUCACUCGAAGCUUGUUUAAAAUAAAAUUAUAAACGAAAAAACCAUAAAAGGAACUUAUGUUUGAAAUCCUUUGUUCGUUAAAAUUAAGAGAAAGUUUUGUAGACAUUUGUAAGUUAUUUAUAAAAAUUCCGUGUAUUUUGUAUUUAAGUAGUUUUAGAGAUUCAAGUACCCUGCCAUAAAUUUUAAUAAGAAAAUUUCUUAAAACUGUUAUGUAUAAAAAACUUGAGUAAUGGAGGGUAAGCCGAUUAGAGACCGCAAUAAAAUUCGAGCGGUCCAAACAUCUGUAAGGGUGAAAGCCUUGGACCUAAUGGCGGGAAAUACCACAUGACUCCAGACAACGUAGCAACUGUAGAAAAGGAUCGACCAAGCCACGGAACGGAGGAUUCAACCUCGAGGGGCGGAGAUACUCUGUGACGUCAUGAGGCCCCGACUACGUCCCCACAUCAGCCAAUAAGAAAACCUUACCCCGCCAUAGUCUCCAGGGCUGACGCCCCUUCUAACUUAGAAUAAUUUUAAGAUUGAUUUUGUAAGGCAGAAUUAGCCAGAAGCUCGAGCGCGAACGUCGUUGUACUAAGCAAAGAUAUACUUACAAUUAAAAAUUGUUCAACCAACUUAGAAAACCUCGUUUUUUCUGAACAGCCUUUCACCAAUUCAUAAUCAACCUACCAGAGCUGAGUAUUUAAAUACUCCCGGGCGAAGUGGCCCUAGUAUACGCGAAUUAAUUUAUAGAGAAUUAAUUAAUCGACCUCCCGAUAGGUGGAGGUCAUAACAGGGUCAACAUAUAAAAAUUUCUAAGUAGAAAAUUUUUUUAAUAGAAUUGUUGUGUCAUAGAGAUAUUCAAAAUAGAGAAAUAUUAAGGAGAGUUAUGGAUAAAUAUGUUGAGGCCUAAUUGUAUCAUAUAGUAAAUUUUGUGGAGAAUUAAUUUUCAUAGAUAUAUGAUAUAGAGAUAUUUUGGACAUGAAUUAUUUUCACAUAUAUUUAUACUAAAUAGUAUAAGAUCACAUAGAGAUAAUUUUACAUUGAAUUAUUUUGCAACAUAAAUAUAUUUAAUAUUAAUAUAUUCGCAUAGAAAUCUAUUUAAGAGAAUUGUAUGUUGGUAGAGUAUUAUGCAUAGAGAAGUAAAAAGUACGAUUGUAACCAGGAACGGUAUGAAAACAUAACGUUGACUGUAUAUAUUACUUAGUGCGUUAACUUACUGAAAAAAAAUUAGUAUUAGUGCACAAAAAAACAAAAUUUAAAAAAAUGCAUAAAUUCAUUUAUAGAAAAUUUGUCUUUAACGAAAUUGAAAUAAAUCCUUGAUGACUGCAGCUGAGCAUUUUAUUAGUUUAGUAACUGUAGCAAGCGCGAAAAAACUUGCUGCUUUUUUAGUUAUUUGUUUUAUCUUCUACCAUGGGAUGAUACAUCUAAUUUAUGAAUUUUGUUUCAUAUCACAGGUAGCGAUUCCUGUAAAUGGUUAUUGAAAGAAGGUCGAUAUAAAGGAGACAAAGAAUGGCAACCUUACGGUUGCAUGAUGCAUCACUAUACGCAAACAGACAGCAGAAGGUGUUUCCGAU